GACGAACGCUGGCGGCGUGCCUAAUACAUGCAAGUAGAACGCUGAAGGAGGAGCUUGCUCUUCUGGAUGAGUUGCGAACGGGUGAGUAACGCGUAGGUAACCUGCCUGGUAGCGGGGGAUAACUAUUGGAAACGAUAGCUAAUACCGCAUAAGAGUAGAUGUUGCAUGACAUUUACUUAAAAGGUGCAAUUGCAUCACUACCAGAUGGACCUGCGUUGUAUUAGCUAGUUGGUGGGGUAACGGCUUACCAAGGCGAGGAUACAUAGCCGACCGGAGAGGGCGAUCAGCCGCCCUGAGACGGUGACACGGCCCAGAGUCCUACGGGAGGCAGCAGUAGGGAAUCUUCGGCAAUGGACGGAAGUCUGACCGAGCAACGCGGCGUGAGUGAAGAAGAUUGUCGGAUCGUAAAGCUCGGUUGUAAGAGAAGAACGAGUGUGAGAGUGGAAAGUUCACACUGUGACGGUAUCUGACCAGAAAGGGACGGCUAACUACGUG
rnacentral:rRNA from 1 species